rnacentral:tRNA from 1 species
UCCCAUGUGGUCUAGUGGUUAGAUUCCUGGCUUUCACCCAGGCCCGGUUCGAUUCCCGCAUGGAAA